AUCAGCUUAUUUUGACAGUCACUUUACGUAAACAACCGGCUAACAACGCGUGCUGUUACUUGUUUCCUUGGAGUUUUUGUUUUCCAUUGCGUGUAUUUCUCCAAAUAGUUUGGGGUAAACUAGAAUCAAAAUGAAUGUCCGUCUCCUAAAUGUGUCUUGCAAAUGGCAGCGGCUUGGUUGCUUCGCCCAACGUGUCUACUAUCAACCGAAUGCACCAACAUGUGGUUAUGCAAUAGGAGCAACAAGGAAGUCGCUGCAUCAAACAGUAGCGAGCGGCUGGGAUGUGCCUUUAUAUAAAUGGAAUAUCCACCAAAAGUAUGUCCAUAGUGGCUAUGCUUCCGUAAGUAAAGCAGCUCCAGUUGCAAAAGCGCCCGCCAUGGUGACGCUUUUGGAAAAGUUAGUAGCGCAACAUCAAACCUCUGGAGAACUCAACUUUGAGUUAUGCGAUAAAGUAAUCACACAAUUGGAGCGUAAUCCGCAUGUUUACAACCAACUACUAAGCAGCGAACAGGCGCAUUUUCUGCUACACGCUUGCGGUACUCUGCUGCCGAUGCGACCAAGCAACACGCGUUUGGAACUAUUCCAGCGUCUUUGGUCCUAUUUGGCACAAAAUUCAAAGUUGACUGCGUCAGACUAUGUCACUUGGCUGCAAGUUCUACAACACAAUCGUGCGCCACUUGCUGAUUUUCGUGCAUUUCUGCAAGAGUUUAAUAACCUAAACAGCAAAAUCGAAUUUGCGCUGCCAGAAAUCUAUGCUGAACUACUGGGCACAGCUUGUGGAACCGGAGACAUGCAACAGGCGACCGAGUUGUUGGCUGAAAUGCGCGAUCAUGCAUUUCCCCUAACAGAGCGUCAUUUUAACUCACUACUGUUCGGACACGCGCGCAAUCACGACCUGGCUGGUUGUCGCGCUGUGCUUGACAACAUGCUCGCUGCGGGUAUUAUGCCUAGUGCAGAAACGCAGUCUUUGCUAGUGUCUGCGUAUUUGGAAAAUGAUGCGCCCGCAAAAGCAAUGGAAGUGUUGAACAAAUUUCAUGGUAAAUUUCAGGCAGCACAAGUCGUGCGUAUGCUGCGCAGUCUCCUGUACAUUGAAAGACAGCAAGAUGAAGAAAUGAUAAAGCAAUUAGUACAGGAAUUGCCGAGCGAUUUCGCGGAAGGUACAGAAGUGGCAUUGCCACUGCGACACUUAUGCAUCGAACUGCUGCACAACGGCAAACUGCCUUCGGUGAACAUCAUCAUCUCUAGCUUGCCUACGCCGCGAUUCUACGAAAACCAAAACAUUGAUACCUUUGGGGUCUUUCUGCUACAAGAACUAUUCCGCAAAAAGUUUAAUGCUUCGCAGAUAAUCGAAGUUGCCAAAAUGCUCCAAGGCAGCGGCAAGAACAGUCGCGCGUUGCACAUAUCCACAGAGAUAGCACUACGACGCGACACUGAAAUGGCGUUACCCUUUCUAGAAGCGCUAUCUCAGCUAGAGCCAUUGCGUCCCCACUAUUUUUGGCCACUGCUUUUGCAUAAUCAUCGGCAGUCAGGUGAGGCUGGUGUGCUGAGUGUUUUAAAGCAAAUGAAAUCUUUAAAUGUGGCUUGUGAUCGCGAAACUAUCGCUCUUUACACAUUACCCCUUUUACCAUUGACCCUCAAACAACCCGAACAAACAAUGAAAUCACUAGAUGAAGUAGGCAUCAAGCCCUCUUUAGCGUUGAUUGAAAUAAUAAUGUAUUUACUAAUCCGUCAAAGGCUUGAAGCGGCGAAUGAUUUACUGGAACUAUAUCCCACCAAAAUGGCAGUUGAACAGCUAGUUCCCACACUGGCAAAUGCCGCUGUAAACGUACGCGCCACAAAGCGUUAUCAACAGUACGUCAAGCUGCUUGCAGCUUUAUCGAAGAAGAACGAGAAUCGCAAAGUUGACUGGAUCGGACAACUAUUGUUGAGCAUGGUGCAAGGGCAAAUGCGCCUGCGCAGCGAUCUGAGAUCAGUAAAACGCUUCGUUGAUGAAAUGGUCAAAUUUGGUUUGGUGAUAUCACCCGCUGCAGCGAAUGCCACAGUGACAGCGUUAGAAGAACAAAUAAAAUCAGAGGUGAACUUAACUUCCAUCAAGGAGGCGUUGCACAAAAUUACUGAUUACAAUGUAGUGCUGCCGCAAAAUGUUGCAGCUGGUGAUACAAGUGGCGCCACUCCCUCGUUUGUAAAGCAUCCGCGCGACAUGACGCUAGAAGAGCUGGAAUAUCAUCUAGUUGAAUUGGAAGGGAAAGGAAUGAAUGCCCGAGGCGUGCUGCGAAGACUUUUGCAGUUAUACGUUCGUGACGGCCAGUUAGAGCGCGCAUUAGAAAUUAAAGAUAAAUGUGACAAGCUGCAGGUGCAAGUGAGCGCCGGUAUGUUGGCCAGUACGCUGGAUCUUUACAUUAAACUGAAAGAUCUGCCCAACGCUGAGAAGAGCCUGAAGGGACUGCAGCAAGAGUUUCCAGAUUUUUCCUUAGACGAACAUAAGUUCAUUGAUUUUGCAACCCUGUUAGUACACAACAAGCAGUUAGAUGUGGCGAAGGAAAUGCUACAAACACGCGCCACAAAGCAGCGGAUCUAUGGUGGCGAUUAUGUAAUUAAAAAUGUAUGGAAUUUUCUUUCUACUGUGGCACAGUUCGCCGCGGAAAUGCCCAAUCUAGAGCCGGAACGCAAUUUGACACGCGAACACUUUCACUUCCUACAAAAGUUGCGCUACUGCAAUGCCCACAACAGCGUUUUGGGUCCGAUUGUGCGUGAGCGUUUACUACGCGGGGACAUCAACGCCGCCGUGGCAGAUUUUCAAAAACUCGCCGAGCAGUACAAACAUACACCACUCCAAUUCGAGCUGCUAUCAUUGCUGGUGCGGCUGAGUAACGGUAUUGAACCAGAAGUUACGCAAUAUAACGGCGUGAAUGGCGAAGAAGCCCAACAGCUCUUGAACGAAGUGACGAAUACCAUUUCCAAAGUUCAUGGCGUUAUGAAUAUGAACAGCGGAUUAUUGCUGGCCUUCGCCGAAUCCGGUACAGACAAUCAGCUACGUCGCUUGCUCAUCAGUCCGGAAUUUCGCAUCAAUGAACAAUUGCUGCUAAAAAAUUGUGAGUAUUUGGGCGAAGAAGGCGCUGUGGCCACCUUACUACGCUUGGCGCGUGGUGCACGCGGUUUCGGACGUACUAUUGACGAACAAAACAUCUACAACAUGCUGCUGACGCACUUCUCCAAAGCGAAUAAUUAUCCAGCCGCAUUGGAUCUGUAUGAGCGUCUGGAGGCAGAUGACGAUUUGAAAAUAUCACAAGAGUUCUUGCGAAAUUUAGUGCAUUUGCUGCGUGUCAAUAAUGUCGAAAUACCUAGCAAAGUGGCGUUGCGCGCGCAGAUUAUAUAGUGAACAGCGUACGACAGUUUAGUUAUGUAAAGUAAAUUAAUAAACACAUAAAUACAUUUGCGGUUUAGUUGUAGGCCACGAGUAUAAAACUCUACGCCAAGCUGAGAAACAUGAAGGCAUUUUGAAGUACAAUUAAAUGCUAAAAUAUACAACAGCGCAAAUACACAUUUCCUUACUAUUGUAAACUUUCGUGGACAUCCGAGUGGAUGGGCGUGCGUUCUAUAUAUUUACCAGCAAUUUUGAUUUUUGUAUGUAGUACUCGUAUGUGUAAUACGGUAAUUAUUUCAAACCAUAAAUUAAGGUUGUCAUUUUAACUACAGGAAAGAAAUCAACAAACGUACGAGGAGCAAGGAACGUAAUGGCUAAACGUUGUGGCAUAAUUUUUAAGAAGUCUCAAGUUUGAAAAUGUAUUAAGUAAUAAACGAAAAACAAAAAACGAAAAAAUAAAGAACGGAACAAGAAUUGAAGCAAAAUUAAAGGUUUGGGCGUAAACAAAAUAUUUAGUGGAAGCAGCUUAGGCACGAAGGCACUGCUGUAUUUCGGAACAUAGUUUUGAAUUCCCUAUUUCGUUGACCUCUACGAAAGCACAUUUUCGCCUUGCAAAAUUUUGAGAAUCGUGAAUUUAAAAAUUUACUAUUUUGAGCGAAUUUACUAUAAGAAAGAUAAAAGUUUAGAAACUCCUUAUGGCUCUCCACAUUGACGAGAGCUUCGCUGCCACAGCUUGUUGGCAUUAAAUUUACAAUCUUAGAAUUCUAUUAUAUUUAUAUAUGUAAAUGUUUAUACUGUAUGUAUGUUUAUUUGUAUGUAUGUAUGUA